UAUUAUUUAAUUAAUUUUAUCCUUAAAAGUAGUAAUUUUUAUAAAUCGAAAUUAAUUAAAUUUGGCAGUAUUUUAUUCUAUUUAGAGGAACUUGUUUUAUAAUAGAUAAUCCACAAUAAAUUUUACUUAGUUUAAUUAUUUUGUAUACCAUUGUCAAAAAUUUAUCUUUAAAGAGAAUUAAAUUUUUAAAAUUUUUUUUUUUAAAAACAUGUCAAAUCAAGGUGCAGUUUAUAAUUAAGAAAUUAAUGAGUUACAAUAAAUUUAUUUAUAUAGAAUAUGAAUUGAAAAAUUAAUAUGAAAUUGGAUUUAAUAGUAAAUUUAUUAAAAUAAUUAUUUUGAAAUUAUUUUAAAAUAUGUACAUAUUGCCCGUCACUUUCUUUUAGAAUAA
rnacentral:rRNA from 1 species